rnacentral:rRNA from 1 species
UACGAAGGGGGGCUAGCGUUGCUCGGAAUUACUGGGCGUAAAGCGCACGUAGGCGGGUCAUUAAGUCGGGGGUGAAAUCCUGGAGCUCAACUCCAGAACUGCCUUCGAAACUGAUGAUCUUGAGUUCGGGAGAGGUGAGUGGAACUGCGAGUGUAGGAGGUGAAAUGCAUAGAUAUCGUCAAGAACACCGAUAGCGAAGGCAGCUUACUGGGCUGUAACUGACGCUGAUGCACGAAAGUGUGGGGAUCAAACAGG